AAAGGUAGACACAGAAAAUACCAUUAAUACCCAUUUACCUGUGUGCAUGUUUACAUAACUUUGUAUGGCACACUAACAUAUAUACAACACACUGGAACUCAAAAUAGGAAUGGAGUAAACAUGAAGAUCCUGAUGGGUGUUCAGUAGUUGUCUCAAUGCAUGAAAAUCACAUUGCAAAACAUUCAGUUCAGAAGCGGCACUCUAAGAAUUGCAGGCCCCCUUCCAAAUAAUGUACUGUAGCUUACUGAUUACUUUUUUCUGUGACUAUGCAUUUUCUUAACUCCAAGAUAGUUCACAGAAGUUUCUGUAUUUCUCAUGUGAUUCCAUAUUGUCUGACAUCAUGAAAUAUAUACCUUAAUAAGUCAUCGUCACCUUCUCAUGUUUUCACACACUAUGUUUUCAGGAAAGUGGUCUCUCUAGUAUGAUUUUGCAGAGACAAAUAAUUUUAUUUUGAUAUACAAUUAUAAAAUAAUUCUGUGGGGCCAGGAGUUUGUCAAGAAUAAGCACAUAACUUGAUUCUUUUAUCUGAAUUCUAUUGCAUCCUUUGAUUUAUACAUUCUUAUAAGGCUUGUAGAAUUAUUUUACAUGUAAUAAUGCCCAUUUGCAAUUCUCAGUCAUAACUUUCUUCAGUUAUCACUGGUGCUUAAAAAUUCUCCUUUGACGUUGGAAAAAAACCUGAUUGUCCUCAACUCAUGAUUGCUUUUCCCAGGCUGGAUUCACAGUGAUGUCAUCCUACUUUUUCUAUCCCUAAUAUUGUUCUUUCCUUCCUUUUAGUGAUGUGUUUUGGGGUUGCCUAGGCCACCUGACUGAGGGUACAGCAGGGAAUGAAAUAGUAGACAAAGAAUAAAGAACAAAUUACUGUUUAUUAUGAGGGGGCCAGGAUUUCACCCUCACUCUUCCUGGCUAAGACCAUGAGCUUCAGACUUGUCAGCAUUUAUUGAUCCCACAACAUAGCAGGGGAAACAAAGGCAGAUGUAGGGAAGAGUAGGACUAAGGCACUGAUGAGCUAGGCUUAGAAAAGGGAGGAAGGAUGCAACCUUGUGAAGGACAGGUCAUAGUUAACAAGCCACCUGCCUUAUCUUUAGCUAAUGUUUGAUCUAGGACAGUAGCCGCAUGGUCAUAAUUCCCCAGCUGCCAUGUCAUCUUGCUUUUAGAGACUUCAGAGUAUCAUCGAUUAUUGAGAUCUCAAUUGUGACUGUUGGCACAGGGAAUUCUUUUUCCAUAUGCCAGCUGAAGUCUCAUCUAGCAAGUCAUGCAUAGGCAUAGGACAGACUCAUAACUUAAUCAGUAGCCAAAUUAUAAGCCAAUUCAGUAAUAUUAAAACCUUGCUCAGCGCGGUUUCAAGCUGGUCCCUGCACAUGUGAAAUCCUCUUGCAAAUUGCUCAUUUUCUACCUCCACCUCCCUAAACUUAGAUAACUAUUUCAAUACUUUUAAGAUCCAACUGAAUAGUGAUGUAUUGGGCGCCAUCAACGUGAUGCAGGCCACACGGUUAUCUCAGAAGUGUGAUGUUGGACAAUCAUGCAUUUCUGAGGAGCCACAACCGAGGUGAGAUUAGCCUUAACUCAAGAUUUCCUUAAGAAGAACACGCAUCACCCUGUCUCAGACUCUGCCAUGACCAAUUUGGGUCCACGCCACCUGCUCUGAAGCACAACAAAAAAUACCCGUCUCUCCUUUGUGGAAAGGAUGAAGAAAGCCUCUCAGGACUUGCCUGUUUUCCUUCCUUCUAAAACUUAACCGAUUCUUCAUCGAGCCAUUCUACAUCUGAAAAUGGGCUCAGAGGUGGCAGUGAGUAAGACAGCUUGAUUUUAGGGUCAACAUCUACAAUGCCCUCCACGAAACUGACAAGAUGCCUCCAAACCAAUCCAGUGUCAUAUUCUGCCCCUUUCUGUUCUGGCUCCUGCUGGCACAUGUGAAAUAAUUAUCGCUGCUCAUUUGCACUGAGAUCUCUGUCCUACUUUAUCAGAGCCAGCACAGCCCAGCAGGUCACACCCUUAUUCUAGCAUAGCUACUGCUUUGAAAUUCAAGAUUCGUUUGCUUGCAUGGGAAAGGAUUCUUCAGUGUGCUCCAUCACAGCAACAGUGGUACCUCUUACGAGCCUAGGCCAAGGAAGGCCACUGUUGAAGGCCGGGAGAGUUCGAGGGCAUCAGCAGAGCCAAGCUUCUCAGAUUUGUUCAUCCAGAUGUGUGCGAAACAUGUGCAAGAAGAUGAUGUCCUUGUGUACUGCCCUGGACCACAGCUAGGAAACUUCAGUCCAAACUAAAUUUCCAGAGAAAAUAUAUGUAUAUACCUCAGCUGUGAGUUUACUUCUUUUUAAGUUUAAAUUAUGUUGGGUAAUAUAUAAAAGCAUAAGAAUUGUACAUAUUUAUAGGGUACUAGGCAAUGAUUUCAUAUAUACCAAUACCUCUCCACACAUUCCCAGUGCAGCUCUAAGCUA